AUUGAACGCUAGCGGCAUGCUUAACACAUGCAAGUCGAACGGCAGCACGGACUUCGGUCUGGUGGCGAGUGGCGAACGGGUGAGUAAUGUAUCGGAACGUGCCCAGUCGUGGGGGAUAACGUAGUGAAAAUUACGCUAAUACCGCAUACGAUCUAUGGAUGAAAGCGGGGGAUCGCAAGACCUCGCGCGAUUGGAGCGGCCGAUAUCAGAUUAGGUAGUUGGUGGGGUAAAGGCCCACCAAGCCAACGAUCUGUAGCUGGUCUGAGAGGACGACCAGCCACACUGGAACUGAGACACGGUCCGGACUCCUACGGGAGGCAGCAGUGGGGAAUUUUGGACAAUGGGCGAAAGCCUGAUCCAGCCAUUCCGCGUGCAGGAUGAAGGCCCUCGGGUUGUAAACUGCUUUUGUACAGAACGAAAAGGUUUCUACUAAUACUAGGAGCUCAUGACGGUACUGUAAGAAUAAGCACCGGCUAACUACGUGCCAGCCGCCGCGGUAA
rnacentral:rRNA from 1 species